rnacentral:rRNA from 1 species
UACAGGGGGGUGCAAACGUUGCUCGGAAUCAUUGGGCGUAAAGCGCACGUAGGCGGUUCGUUAUGUCGGAUGUGAAAGCCCUUGGCUUAACCGAGGAAGUGCAUCCGAAACUGGCGAGCUAGAGUACGAAAGAGGAUCGCGGAAUUCCCGGUGUAGAGGUGAAAUUCGUAGAUAUCGGGAGGAACACCGGUGGCGAAGGCGGCGAUCUGGGUCGAUACUGACGCUGAGGUGCGAAAGCGUGGGGAGCGAACAGG